CGUGCACUGGUGGGGUCCCUCAGCCUGGCCUGUGCCCUCUCACAAUCUGGGACCCCUCAGGGGAUGUUGGAGAGCCUGAUCCCACAGGCCAGGCUGAGGGGCCCCACUGGUGCAUG
rnacentral:pre_miRNA from 1 species